GGCGCGAGUGACAUCAUCCCCGGCCGGGGCUGAGCGGCCGAAGCUCCUCCUGGCCGGCCCCCGCGGAGCGCUGACAGGCGGGGAGUGGCCCGCCAAGUCCCCGCCGAGACCGGCCCGUGACGGAGCGGCGUUAUACGGGAAGUCCUCGGGUUACGGCCAAACCCAUGUCGCUAAGCAAGACAUCAUUGGCCACCGGUUGGAGUCUGUGUAAAUCGCUACUCCUGAGUUUUCCAACAUUCUGGGUGUGCAACCAUGCAUUUCUUGAACUACUACUGCGGUAAUCCUCGACCUAUGGCCACAAUGGCGCCCCCCCAAAUGUUCUGCUCUUAAGUGAGACAUCUGUUAGGCGAGUUUUGCCCCCAUUUUUACGACCUUCCUUGCCGCCGUUUUUAAGUGAAUCCCCGCAGUUGACAAGCAAUGACCACAGGAAACAGGAGUCGCUAGUGAAGCCACAGGAUUUCGCUCACCGCCCCCAUAAAACAGCCGUUUCCAGGAAUGCGACGUUAUUCGGAACAAGAAAUCCACUGGCUGCAUCAAAUCUAAAGAAAAUUC